rnacentral:misc_RNA from 1 species
UUGGUGAUGACCUCUGUGGUGUUCGCGAAUAGUUUAAGCAUGCAUUGGCGGUGGGGUAGCCUAGUGGUUAAAGCGUUCGCUCGUCACACCGAAGACCUGGGUUCAAUUCCCCACUUGGGUACAAUGUGUGAAAACUCAGUCGCUCACUCCUGCCAUACCAACAACACCUGCCAUUCCAAUUUGUCUAACAAUGUAAGCAUUUACAGUCCAACACAACACAGUGAAGACACCAUGCAAUCAAUUGAUCGGUGAAUUGGAACACACCAUUUUGUUUCAAGGGCUGUAUGUUGAAGGAAUGGUUCUUUCAAAGAAGUAUAGAAUUGUUAAUGUUUUUCCAAAAUCCACCAACCUUAAGUAAGGUCAUGUGUCUGUACAACACCCUUUGUAAAUAUAUACUGCUAAAAAAAUAAAGACCAUCUAAUUCAGGUCCAGAUUAGAAUUUGUCUUCAGCAGCCCAUGCUUGUCAUAAAAGACGACUAAAGAAAUCGGGUGGUCAGGCUUGCUGACUUGGUUGACGUCAUUGUAUCCCAACUGUCAAUUAUUUACAGACCGCCGCCAUAUGGCUGGAAUAUUCUGUCUUUUUACUACUCAUAGUUUCAACUACAGUGAUGUGAAGGAUGAUGUGUUGAUUCUUCUUGUGAUGAAUAUAUCAUAAGGAUUUCUUAUGUGGUAUGGAAAUAUAUUAUGGUGUUUUCAAACUACUGCUGAUUUAAUUUUUAUUUGCUUAUCAUUUGUGUUGUGAUCUUUAGUUAUUGGAAUAGCAGUCCUUAAUGACACUUAGUGAUGUUUCGUCAGAAUGUUUCGUCUGACUGACAGUGUACAUGUCACAAUGGACUGUUUACCUGUGAAGUUUGACUGAUUGAUGGGUUUAAAAGAACAUUUUACUGCAACAUGUUUUGUUCAGGAUAUGCCUAUGUGGGAUGCAGGAACCAGCGUGGGGUGAUGUAGGAAUCAUGCAGGUGUCAGAGUGGGGUGAGAUAGGAAUCAUGCAGGUACCAGACUGGGGUGAGAUAGGAAUCAUGCAGGUACCAGACUUGGGUGAGGUAGGAAUCAUGCAGGUACCAGAGUGGGGUGAGGUAGGAAUCAUGCAGGUACCAGAUUGGGUUGAUAUAGGAAUCAUGCAGGUACCAGACUGGGGUGAGAUAGGAAUCAUGCAGGUACCAGACUUGGGUGAGAUAGGAAUCAUGCAGGUACCAGACUUGGGUGAGGUAGGAAUCAUGCAGGUACCAGACUGGGGUGAGAUAGGAAUCAUGCAGGUACCAGACUGGGGUGAGAUAGGAAUCAUGAAGGUACCAGAGUGGGGUGAGGUAGGAAUCAUGCAGGUACCAGAGUGGGGUGAGGUAGGAAUCAUGCAGGUACCAGAUUGGGUUGAUAUAGGAAUCAUGCAGGUACCAGACUGGGGUGAGAUAGGAAUUGCCAUCGCAUUGUAGGCAUUGUAAUAUGUACGAAUGAUGCAAAUAGGGAAAUUUGAGAAAUAUAGUUCUUAAUAUUUGGCUUAAAAUGAGCAAUGUUUUAUACUGCCUCAAGGUGUACGGUCUUUACCUCAAUUUGAAUGUGGAAAAUGAUAAACUUUAAAUUUUAUGCAUAUCAUGGGUGCAGAUGUAUUUUAUUGUUGACAGUGACAUAAAAGAUAGUGACAGAAUUAUUUUAUAAUAGAUCACCAGUCCUUUAUGCAUUAUGUUGUCAAAUACAAUGACAUGAAGUGUGGACUACAACUGCAAAACCUUUAAUGAGGUAUAUUUUAUUUUUAUUCCGAUGAACAAGGUGAAAUGACUGCCGUUGACUUGCUGCAGAUUCCUAUCUCAGUCUCAUCCUCAUUAUCGGACAGUGGGGUAGCCUAGUGGUUAAGUGUUCACUCAUCAUGCUGAAGACCUGAGUUCGAAUCCCCACAAGGUACAAUGUGUAAAGCCCAUUUCUGGUGUUCACAACAGUGAUAUUCCUGGAAAAUUUCUAGAAGUGGCAUAAAACCAUCUCUCAAUCACUCCUGAUUAGGGUCUAGGGGGUGGCCCAGUGGUUAAAGUAUUCUCUCGUCACGCUGAAGACCCGGGUUCGAUUCCCCACAUGGGUACAAUGUGUGAAGCCAGUUUCUGGUGUCCCUGCUUUGAUAUUGCUAAAAGCAGCGUAAAACUACUCACUCACACACUCCUGAUUAUGAUAUGUGGUUUGCCAUACUUUGCUUGUAGGUUUAACCUGAAGUGGUUAUUAUUGGAUGUUGCAACAUGUGGGACUUCUUCCAACAGACGUGACGUAGUGUUGUCUUCUGUUCAGUUUUCUUGUUUUUCUGUUGGUGUAUGUGAAAGGUUUUCAGCAGAGACGGUUUGCCUUCAGCUGAGAAUUUUAUGCCAGUAUAUAAGGGGAUGACUGUAUUAUAACUUAAACCAGGAAGGAGAGUAUAUUUAUUGAAAUAUCCCGUUUAUAUUGUGUUAUGUAUGAUUGUUAGUCUAACUUGGGUACCAUUGAAUAAAAACAUGGUGUGCAA